UACGUAGGGUGCAAGCGUUGUCCGGAAUUGUUGGGCGUAAAGAGCUCGUAGGCGGCUUGUCACGUCGGAUGUGAAAGCCCGGGGCUUAACUCCGGGUCUGCAUUCGAUACGGGCUAGCUAGAGUGUGGUAGGGGAGAUCGGAAUUCCUGGUGUAGCGGUGAAAUGCGCAGAUAUCAGGAGGAACACCGGUGGCGAAGGCGGAUCUCUGGGCCAUUACUGACGCUGAGGAGCGAAAGCGUGGGGAGCGAACAGG
rnacentral:rRNA from 1 species